GAUGAACGCUAGCGGCAGGCCUAAUACAUGCAAGUCGAACGGGAUCUGAGGGUAGCUUGCUACCCGAUUUGAGAGUGGCGCACGGGUGCGUAACGCGUGAGCAACCUACCCAUAUCAGGGGGAUAGCCCGGAGAAAUUCGGAUUAACACCGCAUAAGAAUGUAUUAACACAUGUUAAAGCAUUUAAAUGUUUAUAGGAUAUGGAUGGGCUCGCGUGACAUUAGCUAGUUGGUGAGGUAACGGCUAACCAAGGCGACGAUGUCUAGGGGCUCUGAGAGGAGAAUCCCCCACACUGGUACUGAGACACGGACCAGACUCCUACGGGAGGCAGCAGUAAGGAAUAUUGGUCAAUGGGCGGAAGCCUGAACCAGCCAUGCCGCGUGCAGGAUGACUGCCCUAUGGGUUGUAAACUGCUUUUGUCGAGGAAUAAACCUAUCUACGUGUAGCUAGUUGAACGUACUCGAAGAAUAAGGAUCGGCUAACUCCGUGCCAGCCGCCGCGGUAA
rnacentral:rRNA from 1 species